CCCACUUCACCAAAAGGUUAGGACAUUUACAGAGGAAAGAAAACACAAAUGUAUUCACAGUUUUUGUCAGAGUGACUCUAUAUAUAACCUGUUAGGAGAUGUUUAAGGUAAUUACUGCAGCUACGCCUGGAUCUGCAUCAACUGAUCUCAGCCGGUUAAAGAAAUGAUUGCUCAAAAUUUCAGCUUGAUCCAAGAUUUGGUGUGGGAGAAAUAACCUGUACAAACUUUUAACCAGACAGACAGAGUGAGUAUCAGACAUGAUAAACAAUUCGUUAUGGCUUGGCUGUCUAGUUCUACAGAUCUUUAGUCUAGCUACAUCACAAAAUGUGUCUGAGCCUGUGGCAGAUGUAACAGUUCCUAUGUCUCGAUUGCCUUAUGUUCCUCUCUCACAAAUAUUCACGAGUAUUCCACCACCACCACUGUUUCCAGAUCCUCCUCCUCCACAAAGAGCGACUGUGUCUCCGUCAAACUCUGUUUUAAAGUGGCUGCUCUUUAUGGAUGCAAUAGAUGUCAAUUGAAGGAACCAAAAGGACACAAUGAAACACUUAACACAACAUUAGGGAUAACACUAAUAGCUUUAUUUUUUUCUAGAACAAUCCUUUUCUCUCUAACAAAGAAAUGCCAAGGACGUCGUAGCUUCUGACGUCUAUAAAUUCUAAUUCGUUUUAAUCGGUCUUAAUUUUUGUUUAAUAAUGUCGUCUUUAGGAGUGACGCUUAACGCCAUUACAUUUUGAUGCACUUGAAAUAACAAAAAUUUUGUCAUUUUGUUUAACGCCAUAUAGAUCUCUAUAAAAAAAACACACACACACACACACACACAUUGAACAAAGGCAAUCAAGGACAAAGAAUCCUCAAAAGCCACUUGCCAUUGAUCAGACAAAUUCUAAUACAAACGCAAAAAUGGCA